rnacentral:rRNA from 1 species
GGGACUGAGACACGGCCCAAACUCCUACGGGAGGCAGCAGUGGGGAAUCUUGCGCAAUGGGCGAAAGCCUGACGCAGCCAUGCCGCGUGAAUGAUGAAGGUCUUAGGAUUGUAAAAUUCUUUCACCGGGGACGAUAAUGACGGUACCCGGAGAAGAAGCCCCGGCUAACUUCGUGCCAGCAGCCGCGGUAAUACGAAGGGGGCUAGCGUUGCUCGGAAUUACUGGGCGUAAAGGGCGCGUAGGCGGACAUUUAAGUCAGGGGUGAAAUCCCAGAGCUCAACUCUGGAACUGCCUUUGAUACUGGGUGUCUUGAGUGUGAGAGAGGUAUGUGGAACUCCGAGUGUAGAGGUGAAAUUCGUAGAUAUUCGGAAGAACACCA